ACCCUGUGAGUGUGAUGGACGCAUGACAGUCUUCGAAACUGUCGGACGAGGUUCGAUUCCUCGACGGGGUAC
rnacentral:tRNA from 1 species